UACGUAGGGCGCAAGCGUUGUCCGGAAUUAUUGGGCGUAAAGAGCUCGUAGGCGGCCUGUUGCGUCCGCUGUGAAAUCCCGGGGCUUAACCCCGGGCUUGCAGUGGAUACGGGCAGGCUGGAGGCAGGCAGGGGAGAACGGAAUUCCCGGUGUAGCGGUGAAAUGCGCAGAUAUCGGGAGGAACACCGGUGGCGAAGGCGGGACUCUGGGCCGAUACUGACGCUGAGGAGCGAAAGCGUGGGGAGCGAACAGG
rnacentral:rRNA from 1 species